UUGGACCUGAUAUCAAACAAGACUACCCGCUGAAC
rnacentral:rRNA from 1 species